GUGGGGAAUAUUGCACAAUGGGGGAAACCCUGAUGCAGCGACGCCGCGUGAAGGAAGAAGUAUUUCGGUAUGUAAACUUCUAUCAGCAGGGAAGAAAAUGACGGUACCUGACUAAGAAGCCCCGGCUAACUACGUGCCAGCAGCCGCGGUAAUACGUAGGGGGCAAGCGUUAUCCGGAUUUACUGGGUGUAAAGGGAGCGUAGGCGGUUUAGCAAGUCAGAAGUGAAAGCCCGGGGCUCAACUCCGGGACUGCUUUUGAAACUGUUGAACUAGAUUGCAGGAGAGGUAAGUGGAAUUCCUAGUGUAGCGGUGAAAUGCGUAGAUAUUAGGAGGAACACCAGUGGCGAAGGCGGCUUACUGGACUGUAAAUGACGCUGAGGCUCGAAAGCGUGGGGAGCAAACAGG
rnacentral:rRNA from 1 species